UACGGAGGAUGCGAGCGUUAUCCGGAUUUAUUGGGUUUAAAGGGUGCGCAGGCGGCCUGUUAAGUCAGCGGUAAAAGCCCGGGGCUCAACCCCGGCGAGCCGUUGAAACUGGCGUUCUUGAGUGGGCGAGAAGUACGCGGAAUGCGUGGUGUAGCGGUGAAAUGCAUAGAUAUCACGCAGAACCCCGAUUGCGAAGGCAGCUUACCAGUCUGCGACUGACGCUCAGGCACGAAAGUGUGGGUAUCGAACAGG
rnacentral:rRNA from 1 species